rnacentral:lncRNA from 1 species
UUCGAUGGCCCCUAUGACGUCUAUCCCCCACAUGGAAAAAGGCCAAGGGGCGGACAUGACAUUCAGAGGAUGUUGCGGAGCAUUGACAUUAUCCGCGAACGGUUGACAUUUAUGGCAUUUCCUUACAUGGGUGCAGCAAUCACUUUCCAUGGUGAGCCAGUAAUAACCCGCUCUCAGAAUCUUCCUGGCCAUAGCAUGCCCAUUGGUGUGUGUUCCAAA